rnacentral:rRNA from 1 species
AGCGAACGCUGGCGGCAGGCCUAACACAUGCAAGUCGAGCGGAAAGGCCACUUCGGUGGUACUCGAGCGGCGAACGGGUGAGUAACACGUGAGUAAUCUGCCCUUGGCUUUGGGAUAGCCACCGGAAACGGUGAUUAAUACCGGAUAUGACAGCGUCACGCAUGUGGUGUUGUGGAAAGUUUUUCGGCCAGGGAUGUGCUCGCGGCCUAUCAGCUUGAUGGUGAGGUAAUGGCUCACCAUGGCUUCGACGGGUAGCCGGCCUGAGAGGGUGAGCGGUCACACUGGGACUGAGACACGGCCCAGACUCCUACGGGAGGCAGCAGUGGGGAAUAUUGGACAAUGGGCGGAAGCCUGAUUCAGCAACGCCGCGUGAGGGAUGACGGCCUUCGGGUUGUAAACCUCUUUCGCCUGUGACGAAGCGAAAGUGACGGUAACAGGUAAAGAAGCACCGGCCAACUACGUGCCAGCCGCCGCCGUAAUAC